rfam:Fonticula alba strain ATCC 38817 unplaced genomic scaffold supercont2.7, whole genome shotgun sequence.
GGGGUAAUAGCUCAGUGGUAGAGCACCCGCUUCGCAUGCGGGGGGUCUGGAGUUCAAUCCUCCAUUGCUCCA